AUGAGCUCGCGGCCUAUCAGCUUGUUGGUGAGGUAAUGGCUCACCAAGGCGUCGACGGGUAGCCGGCCUGAGAGGGUGACCGGCCACACUGGGACUGAGACACGGCCCAGACUCCUACGGGAGGCAGCAGUGGGGAAUAUUGCACAAUGGGCGAAAGCCUGAUGCAGCGACGCCGCGUGAGGGAUGACGGCCUUCGGGUUGUAAACCUCUUUCAGCAGGGAAGAAGCGAAAGUGACGGUACCUGCAGAAGAAGCGCCGGCUAACUACGUGCCAGCAGCCGCGGUAAUACGUAGGGCGCGAGCGUUGUCCGGAAUUAUUGGGCGUAAAGAGCUCGUAGGCGGCUUGUCGCGUCGGCUGUGAAAUCCCGGGGCUUAACCUCGGGUCUGCAGUCGAUACGGGCAGGCUAGAGUGCGGUAGGGGAGAUCGGAAUUCCUGGUGUAGCGGUGGAAUGCGCAGAUAUCAGGAGGAACACCGAUGGCGAAGGCGGAUCUCUGGGCCGAUACUGACGCUGAGGAGCGAAAGGGUGGGGAGCAAACAGGAUUAGAUACCCUGGUAGUCCACGCCGUAAACGGUGGGAACUAGGUGUGGGCGACAUUCCACGGCUUCCGUGCCGCAGCUAACGCAUUAAGC
rnacentral:rRNA from 1 species